rnacentral:rRNA from 1 species
AUACGUAGGGGGCGAGCGUUGUCCGGAAUGAUUGGGCGUAAAAGGCGCGUAGGCGGCCCGGUAAGUCUGGAGUGAAAGUCCUGUUUUUAAGAUGGGAAUUGCUUUGGAUACUGUCGGGCUUGAGUGCAGGAGAGGUAAGUGGAAUUCCCAGUGUAGCGGUGAAAUGCGUAGAGAUUGGGAGGAACACCAGUGGCGAAGGCGACUUACUGGACUGUAACUGACGCUGAGGCGCGAAAGUGUGGGGAGCAAACAGGAUUAGAUACCCUGGCAGUCCACACUGUAAACGAUGAAUGCUAGGUGUAGGGGGUAUCGACCCCUUCUGUGCCGCAGUCAACACAAUAAGCAUUCCGCCUGGGGAGUACGGCCGCAAGGUUGAAACUCAAAUGAAUUGACGGGG